GACGAACGCUGGCGGCGUGCCUAAUACAUGCAAGUAGGACGCAGUUGCGAACGGGUGAGUAACGCGUAGGUAACUGCCUAUUAUAGGGGGAUAACUACUGGAAACGAUAGCUAAUACCGCAUAAUAGUAGAUGGAUCUACGUUGUAUUAGCUAGUAGGUAGGGUAAUGGCCUACCUAGGCGACGAUACAUAGCCGAACUGGGAGGGUGAGCGGGCACACUUGUACUGAGGCACGGGCCAGACGCCUACGGGAAGCAGCAGUAAGGAAACUUCGGGAAUGGGGGGAAACCUUACCGGGCAACGCCGCGGGAGUGAAGAAGGGUUUCGGAUCGGAAAGCUCUGUUGUUAAGGAAGCGGUACUUAACCAGAAAGGGACGGCUAACUACGUGCCAGCAGCCGCGGUAAUUC
rnacentral:rRNA from 1 species